rnacentral:rRNA from 1 species
AGAUUGAACGCUGGCGGCAGGCCUAACACACGCAAGUCGAGCGGUAGAGAGGUGCUUGCAUCUCUUGAGAGCGGCGGACGGGUGAGUAAUGCCUAGGAAUCUGCCUAGUGGUGGGGGGAUAACGUUCGGAAACGGACGCUAAUACCGCAUACGUCCUACGGGAGAAAGCGGGGGACCUUCGGGCCUCGCGCCAUUAGAUGAGCCUAGGUCGGAUUAGCUAGUUGGUGAGGUAAUGGCUCACCCAAGGCGACGAUCCGUAACUGGUCUGAGAGGAUGAUCAGUCACACUGGAACCUGAGACACGGUCCAGACGUCCUACGGGAGGCCAGCAGGUGGGGAAUAUUGGACAAUUGGGCGAAAGCCUAGAGUCCAGCCAAGUGCCCGUGGUGUGUGAAGGUAAGGUCUUCGGAAUUGUAAAGCUAACUUUAAGUUGGGAAGGAAGG